AUUCGCCCUUAGAGUUUGAUCCUGGCUCAGGACGAACGCUGGCGGCGUGCCUUAGACAUGCAAGUCGAGCGAGAACUUCGGUUCUAGCGGCAAACGGCGCAGUAAUACGUAAGCAACGUGCCCCCAAGACUGGGACAGUCCGGGGAAACCCGGUUUAAUACCAGAUGUGGCCGUUCUUCCGCCUGGAAGAACGAUUAAAGGACUUCGGUCGCUUAGGGAGCGGCUUACGACCUAUCAGGUAGUUGGUGAGGUAACGGCUCACCAAGCCUACGACGGGUAGCGGGUCUGAGAGGAUGAUCCGCGCGAGUGGGACUGAGACACGGCCCACACACCUACGGGUGGCAGCAGUUUGGAAUAUUGCACAAUGGGGGAAACCCUGAUGCAGCGACGCCGCGUGGGGGAUGACGGAUUUCGGUCUGUAAACCCCUUUUGCCAGGAAAGACUUAGGACGGUACCUGGCGAAUAAGCCCCGGCUAACUACGUGCCAGCAGCCGCGGUAAUACGUAGGGGGCGAGCGUUGUCCGGAUUUACUGGGCGUAAAGGGCGCGCAGGCGGCCUGCUAAGUGUGAAGUGAAAUCUCCUGGCUCAACCAGGAAAUUGCUUUGCAUACUGGCAGGCUAGAGAAAGGCAGAGGUAGAUGGAAUUCCCGGUGUAGCGGUGACAUGCGUUGAUAUCGGGAGGAACACCAAUGGCGAAGGCAGUCUACUGGGCCUCUUCUGACGCUCAGGCGCGAAAGCGUGGGUAGCAAACAGGAUUAGAUACCCUGGUAGUCCACGCCCUAAACGAUGGAUACUAGGCGUUAGGGGUAUCGACCCCCUUAGUGCCGCAGCAAACGCGAUAAGUAUUCCCGCCUGGGGACUAC
rnacentral:rRNA from 1 species